rnacentral:misc_RNA from 1 species
GAUGAAGAACGCAGCGAAAUGCGAUACGUAAUGUGAAUUGCAGAAUUCAGUGAAUCAUCGAAUCUUCGAACGCAUAUUGCGCUCUCUGGUAUUCCGGAGAGCAUGCUUGUUUGAGUAUCAUUAAACACCUCAACUUCCAUAUCUUUUUUGAAAUGGGAGUUGGACUUGAGUGAUCCCAACGCUUUUCCUCACCGAAAAGUGGCGGGUUACUUGAAAUGCAGGUGCAGCUGGACUUUUCUCUGAGCUAUAAGCAUAUCUAUUUAGUCUGCCUAAAAAACAGAUUAUUACCUUUGCUGCAGCUAACAUAAAGGAGAUUAGUUCUUGUGCUGACUGAUGCAGGAUUCACAAAGACAGGCUUCGGCCGACUUUGUAAACUCGAUCUCAAAUCAAGUAAGACUACCCGCUGAACUUAAGCAUAUCAAUAAGCGGAGGA